UUUUUCUAUCUAUAUGUUCUUAGAGCAGAGAACCACAUCACAUAGGGACUGGUGUUGCCUUCAUUGGAAUCCUUCUCAACUUUGCUCUUCAGUCUUGUGAUGUCUUUCGCUCUUUGGUCUUUCAAUUUUGCUUUUGGCGAACAGCACCAACUCCCAUUGGGGAGUCUCCUAAUGGCUUGUGGAGUUUCCUUUCUUCUUCUCUUUACCAAUUGGGAUUAUUCAACAAGGCGCAACAAACAUGCAAACCAAGAUUGAAUGUCAGUGUUUACAGAGUUGAUCAUUUGCUACAUAUACCUUGGGUGACUUCAAACUAUACAGGUCCUUACAUGAAGAUUUGUACCAAAUCCAUGUUCCUUGUUCAGCUAGUUGGCACAAUUAUUGGCCAAGUUUCUACUUUGCCAUGGCAUAUAUGGUGGUUACUGAAGGAAAUUGAUUCCGUG